UCUUUCUCUCUCUCUCUCUCCAACUGUGCCUUUCAAAUAGAUAAAUAAAUCUUUAAAAGAAAUUCCCCAGACUGCUCACAAUUUAGGUGGUUUCAUAGUAAUAUCCUUGAUGUAAUAGCAUUUAUGAAGAGCAGUGGGAGGGGCCUGGCACAGUAUUUUAAACUGAGACGUGGAAAAUGAGUUCACAGUAGACCAGCUGGUCUGAUUCAAAUGUGAUAAGGAAAUUUCAAGCCAGUAAAAUAUUAUCAACAAAGGCCCAGAGACUUGAGAGAAUAGAACUUCAAGGGAUAUAUAAGUAGAUCUGCAUUAUUGGAACAAAAAAGAGUAAAGGAAAGAGGAGUUGGUGGUGACAAAAAGGUGCUUUCAGUUGCUGAAGGCAAUGCAGCAGACUUCAGAACAUUUCCAUCUUCCUCCUCGAAGUAGAGUAAUGAAAGUUGCUUUCAGAAUCAGACGUGGCAUCACCAUUUAUCAACACUGUAAAUGGCAAGAAACUUGAGGCUCAGGGAAGGAACGUUUACUGAAUGUCUAUUAACCACGUGGUAAGCAUCUUCCUCGUGACAUCUCUGUGUGGCUUGGAGUUACUGCCUUCUUAUUGUGUCUUCACUUGGGAAAGAAAGAGAGAGAGAGAAAUGGAGAAAUCAGAAGGAAAAAAGGAUGUGUUCUAAGUAAGCCUCAAACUUCACAAGGAAAAUUCCAUUGCAUCUUAAGGCUUGAGAAUGAUUAUUACUGGUUUGCUGGUCUGCCUUUCAGACCCACCAGGGUGGUGGUCCCACUUUUGUGACUCUGCUGGCUGGAAGAUGGACCCUCAAGGUUCUGGGCAGUGAUGGUCUGGCCUGUUGAAUCUGAAGCAAUGUCCUUCCUCUUCCGUUCUAACCUGGAAACUGUGGAGGCAGCCCCAAUACGGACCAAAUCAAUUCUGGGGUCAUUCUUUGUCUUCAAAAAUACUGCCUAGUGCAGCCAAAUAAUAUAAUGGUCCAGUUGUGUAAGAUCUAAGAAGUUCCAUGCCUUCCUUCAUUUUGUCCCAUCUCUGUCUCCUUCAGUUCAAACUGGCAAUGUUUCUGCUGGGAUGGUUGAUUAGAUCUGUGGUUCACACUUAUACUGAUCUCCUUAUCCAAUAGUUUGUCAGUUAGUGUUCUCUUCAGAAGAAACUGUUUCCUUUUGUACAGUAUGUGUACAGGCUGAGAAGUUUUCCAAAUCUUAAACAUAUUCCUCAUUUUCAUUUAAACCAUGACUAGCAUUGCUUUUCUUGUCCAUGUUUUGACUGACAUUCUGUUGUUGAUUAUGUGUUUACUAAGAAAAUGGAAACUUACUCUCCAGUUCUCCUUUCUUUCUGAGUCCUAACCAGAAUCAUCACUCCUUUCCUGUUUCCUCUUUCUCUCCCUUUCAAAUAAAUAAAAUAUGAAUAAAUUUUUAACU